rnacentral:rRNA from 1 species
UGAAGCCCUUCGGGGUGGAUUAGUGGCGAACGGGUGAGUAACACGUGGGCAAUCUGCCCUUCACUCUGGGACAAGCCCUGGAAACGGGGUCUAAUACCGGAUAACACUCUGUCCCGCAUGGGACGGGGUUGAAAGCUCCGGCGGUGAAGGAUGAGCCCGCGGCCUAUCAGCUUGUUGGUGGGGUAAUGGCCUACCAAGGCGACGACGGGUAGCCGGCCUGAGAGGGCGACCGGCCACACUGGGACUGAGACACGGCCCAGACUCCUACGGGAGGCAGCAGUGGGGAAUAUUGCACAAUGGGCGAAAGCCUGAUGCAGCGACGCCGCGUGAGGGAUGACGGCCUUCGGGUUGUAAACCUCUUUCAGCAGGGAAGAAGCGAAAGUGACGGUACCUGCAGAAGAAGCGCCGGCUAACUACGUGCCAGCAGCCGCGGUAAUACGUAGGGCGCAAGCGUUGUCCGGAAUUAUUGGGCGUAAAGAGCUCGUAGGCGGCUUGUCACGUCGGAUGUGAAAGCCCGGGGCUUAACCCCGGGUCUGCAUUCGAUACGGGCUAGCUAGAGUGUGGUAGGGGAGAUCGGAAUUCCUGGUGUAGCGGUGAAAUGCGCAGAUAUCAGGAGGAACACCGGUGGCGAAGGCGGAUCUCUGGGCCAUUACUGACGCUGAGGAGCGAAAGCGUGGGGAGCGAACAGGAUUAGAUACCCUGGUAGUCCACGCCGUAAAC